UACGAAGGGGGCAAGCGUUGUUCGGAAUUACUGGGCGUAAAGGGCGCGUAGGCGGCUUACCAAGUCAGGCGUGAAAUUCCCGGGCUCAACCUGUGGGCUGCGCUUGAUACUGGUGAGCUUGAAUGCGGGAGAGGAUAGUGGAAUUCCCAGUGUAGAGGUGAAAUUCGUAGAUAUUCGGAGGAACACCAGUGGCGAAGGCGGCUCACUGGUCCGGUACUGACGCUGAGGUGCGAAAGCGUGGGGAGCAAACAGG
rnacentral:rRNA from 1 species